rnacentral:rRNA from 1 species
UACGUAGGGUGCAAGCGUUGUCCGGAAUUAUUGGGCGUAAAGAGCUCGUAGGCGGUUUGUUGCGUCGGCUGUGAAAUCCCGAGGCUCAACCUCGGGUCUGCAGUCGAUACGAGCAAACUAGAGUGUUGCAGGGGAGACUGGAAUUCCUGGUGUAGCGGUGAAAUGCGCAGAUAUCAGAAGGAACACCAGCGGCGAAGGCGGCGCUCUGGGCCGGAACUGACGCUGAGGAGCGAAAGCAUGGGGAGCGAACAGG